rnacentral:antisense_RNA from 1 species
GGGAGCUUGGAUGUGGAAGCUCUUUGGAAACCAAGAAACACUCUGCAAAUGAAAAGGGUGGAAGAGUAAACUGUUCCCGUUUCUCCAAAUUGACAGGAAGCAGAAGUUCUCCUUAGCUGAUUUUUCUUCUUGCCUUAUACUGGGUUCUUUAACACCAGAACAAAAAUAAAUAAAUAAAAGAAUCUUCCAGAAAUUCAUGAAGAGACUUCAGGUCAGGAAAGCCUGAACUUUCUCAUCUAACACCUGUUCAAGUCGGAGGAUGCUGAUUAAUUCAUGAUGGAAAGGUAUCAAUUUCACAGCCCAGACUUCUACAUUCUUGAAAUGCUGUUCUCAUGGGAGACAUUAAAUAAGCUUUGAAAUAACUUAAGCCCUUAAGUAAAGGUGCCAUCAAAUGAUUUCUCAGAAAUUAUAAAGAAACAAAAGGACCAUAAACAAGAUAAGGUGGCACGAGGAAACACUAAAAGUACCUUUCAGAGCUGACUGGCAAAGAAACUCCUGAGGUGAUGGUUCUACCCCAAUAUUACUUCUUCCAAGAGCAACCUAACUGACCUUGUAUUGAAGACAGCAUAACCCCCAAGAGGAAAGGAGCUUGGAGCCCUGAAUCAGAGUAGAAGACAGGCUGAACACCAGCCUUGGACUGUUGUGUGAAUGAAAAACAAGUUUUGAGAUUUGUGUGGUUUA